rnacentral:rRNA from 1 species
AUUGAACGCUGGCGGCAGGCAGAAAAAAGGAAAGGCGAGGGAGCGGCGGACGGGUGAGUAAUGUAUGGGGAUCGGAGGGAUAGAGGGGGAGAACUAGGGGAAACGGUGGGGAAAACCGCAUACUAGAGGAUGAACCCCUAUGGGAUUAGCUAGUAGGUGGGGUAAAGGCUCACCUAGGGGACGAUCUCUAGCUGGUCUGAGAGGAUGAGGAGCCACACGGGGACUGAGACACGGUCCAGACUCCUACGGGAGGCAGCAGUGGGGAAUAUGGCACAAUGGGCGCAAGCCUGAUGCAGCCAUGCCGCGUGUAUGAAGAAGGCCUUGGGGUUUUAAAGUACUUUCAGCGGGGAGGCGUUACCCGCAGAAGAAGCACCUGCUCCCUCCCUGCCAGCAGCCGCGGUAAUAC